CACAUGCAAGUCGAGCGGUAACAGGUCCAUGCUUGCUGGAUGCUGACGAGCGGCGGACGGGUGAGUAAUGCAUAGGAAUCUGCCCGAUAGUGGGGGAUAACCUGGGGAAACCCAGGCUAAUACCGCAUACGUCCUACGGGAGAAAGGGGGCUCCGGCUCCCGCUAUGGGAUGAGCCUAUGUCGGAUUAGCUAGUUGGUGAGGUAACGGCUCACCAAGGCCACGAUCCGUAGCUGGUCUGAGAGGAUGAUCAGCCACAUCGGGACUGAGACACGGCCCGAACUCCUACGGGAGGCAGCAGUGGGGAAUAUUGGACAAUGGGGGGAACCCUGAUCCAGCCAUGCCGCGUGUGUGAAGAAGGCCCUCGGGUUGUAAAGCACUUUCAGCGAGGAAGAACGCCUAGCGGUUAAUACCCGCUAGGAAAGACAUCACUCGCAGAAGAAGCACCGGCUAACUCCGUGCCAGCAGCCGCGGUAAUACGGAGGGUGCAAGCGUUAAUCGGAAUUACUGGGCGUAAAGCGCGCGUAGGUGGCUUGAUAAGCCGGUUGUGAAAGCCCCGGGCUCAACCUGGGAACGGCAUCCGGAACUGUCAAGCUAGAGUGCAGGAGAGGAAGGUAGAAUUCCCGGUGUAGCGGUGAAAUGCGUAGAGAUCGGGAGGAAUACCAGUGGCGAAGGCGGCCUUCUGGACUGACACUGACACUGAGGUGCGAAAGCGUGGGUAGCAAACAGGAUUAGAUACCCUGGUAGUCCACGCCGUAAACGAUGUCGACCAGCCGUUGGGUGCCUAGCGCACUUUGUGGCG
rnacentral:rRNA from 1 species